ACAACAACAACAACAGCAACAACUACAACAACCACCACAGCCACCACUCUACCGCCACAUCUACGACCGACCAUCAGCCUCUUCACCCUCCUCAGAGAAAGAGCCUUGGCCAGUGUCGAUGUCUCUGAUCUCCGCUACACGUCGGGAGAGGAAGAGCGCGCUAAUUGAUCACUCUUGGCUCUAAUAACGACACGCCUCGCUGCACCUGAGAAUGCCGCCUCCCAUUACCUAUUGAUUGGCCCACACCUGCACCCACGCCCCGGCCGGUGAGUACCCAGUAAGCCGCAAUACCUCUACCCAGAAGCGUAUUAACAGUGUAUCCGUCAUUCUUUCUCCGUGACGGCUGUUUUAGGGGUUACUGCAAGCCUCCCCGCGGCAAUAUAUCGUGUACUUUGUUUGCACACUUGAUGCAUUCUGAGCUUUUGCUUACUCAUUAUAUUAGUGUCCGAUGAGUUAGUGAGCCAAUAAUCUGCUGCUAUGCUACCUGGAAAUAUGUUGAUAGUUUCCUUCACCCUUUGCGUUCUUUGAUUCUCACUUCUUCUGCAAACCGUCGACUAUCACUAAUACUAUCACUAACUUAUA